UGCAAGUCGAGCGGUCCUUCGGGACAGCGGCGAACGGGUUAGUAACGCGUGGGAACGUGCCCUUUAGUACGGAAUAGCCAUUGGAAACGAUGAUUAAUACCGUAUACGCCCCAAGGGGGAAAGAUUUAUCGCUAAAGGAUCGGCCCGCGUUAGAUUAGGUAGUUGGUAGGGUAAUGGCCUACCAAGCCGACGAUCUAUAGCUGGUUUGAGAGGAUGAUCAGCAACACUGGGACUGAGACACGGCCCAGACUUCUACGGAAGGCAGCAGUAGGGAAUCUUGGACAAUGGGCGAAAGCCUGAUCCAGCCAUGCCGCGUGAGUGAUGAAGGCCCUAGGGUUGUAAAGCUCUUUCGCCAGGGAAGAUAAUGACGGUACCUGGUAAAGAAACCCCGGCUAACUCCGUGCCAGCAGCCGCGGUAAUACGGAGGGGGUUAGCGUUGUUCGGAAUUACUGGGCGUAAAGCGCACGUAGGCGGAUCAAUAAGUCAGGGGUGAAAUCCCGAGGCUCAACCUCGGAACUGCCUUUGAUACUGUUGGUCUU
rnacentral:rRNA from 1 species